rnacentral:rRNA from 1 species
CACGAAGUUAGCCGGGGCUUCUUCUCCGGUUACCGUCAUUAUCUUCACCGGUGAAAGAGCUUUACAACCCUAGGGCCUUCAUCACUCACGCGGCAUGGCUGGAUCAGGCUUGCGCCCAUUGUCCAAUAUUCCCCACUGCUGCCUCCCGUAGGAGUCUGGGCCGUGUCUCAGUCCCAGUGUGGCUGAUCAUCCUCUCAGACCAGCUAUGGAUCGUCGCCUUGGUAGGCCUUUACCCCACCAACUAGCUAAUCCAACGCGGGCUCAUCCAUCUCCGAUAAAUCUUUCUCCCGAAGGACGUAUACGGUAUUAGCACACGUUUCCAUGCGUUAUUCCGUAGAGAUGGGUAGAUUCCCACGCGUUACUCACCCGUCUGCCGCUCCCCUUGCGGGCGCUCGACUUGCAUGUGUUAAGCCUGCCGCCAGCGUUCGUUCUGAGCCAGGAUCAAACUCU